rnacentral:rRNA from 1 species
GAUGAACGCUGGCGGCGUGCUUAACACAUGCAAGUCGAACGGGCAGGCCCUAAUUUUGUUGGUUUCUCGUUUGCCGCACACGGGAGUGUCACAUGUGUAUCAUGCACUUAACUUUGGGAUAACUUCACGAAACAGCGGCUCAUACCGCGUAUAAGCUCCUGCUCCAUGUGGUUGGUUGGAGAGAUCCGGCGUUGCGGGCUGGAUUAGCGGCUUAUCAGCUUGUUGGUGUGGUAGUGGCUUACACAGUCUUUGACGGGUAGCCGGCCUGAGAGGGUUACCGGCCACAAUGCGACUGAGAUAGGGCCCAGACUCCAACGGGAGGCAGUAGUGGGGAAUAUUGCAGAAUGGGCGGAAGCCAGAGGCAGCAACGCUGCGUUCGUGAUGACCUCUUACGGGUGGUAAACCGCUGUCGCAUGUGACGAAGCGUGAGUGACGGUAAUGGGUAAAGAAGCACCGGCUAACUACGUG